UACGGGGGGGGGCAAGCAGUUGUUUCGGAAUUUACUGGCGUAAAGGGCCAGUAGGCGGCCAACUAAGUCCGACGUGAAAUCCCCAGCUUACCUGGGAACUGCGUCGAUACUGAUGGCUUGAAUUCGGGAGAGGGAUGCAGAAUUCCAGGGUGUAGCGGGUGAAAAUGCGUAGAUAUCUGGAAGGAAUACCCGGGUGGGCGAAGGCGGCAUCCCUGGGACCCGGGCAUUGACCGCU
rnacentral:rRNA from 1 species